UCGAAAUUUCCAAACAAAAAGGGCACCUUUGAUGUUAAUUUAGUAUUUACAGCGAUAUUACCUUGUACAAAAAGGGCACUUUUCAUCACAAAAAAGGGCACUUUUGGUCCUUUGAAAAAAUUGGGGGAACGGAGGGGGGCACGUGCCCCCUGUGCUCCCCCGGUUCCUACGCCCCUGCAAGAGCUACUUGUACUUGCAAUCUUAGACAUAACUAUUCGG